rnacentral:rRNA from 1 species
UGAACGCUGGCGGCGUGCCUAAUACAUGCAAGUCGAGCGAACAGACGAGGAGCUUGCUCCUCUGACGUUAGCGGCGGACGGGUGAGUAACACGUGGAUAACCUACCUAUAAGACUGGGAUAACUUCGGGAAACCGGAGCUAAUACCAGAUAAUAUAUUGAACCGCAUGGUUCAAUAGUGAAAGACGGUUUUGCUGUCACUUAUAGAUGGAUCCGCGCCGCAUUAGCUAGUUGGUAAGGUAACGGCUUACCAAGGCAACGAUGCGUAGCCGACCUGAGAGGGUGAUCGGCCACACUGGAACUGAGACACGGUCCAGACUCCUACGGGAGGCAGCAGUAGGGAAUCUUCCGCAAUGGGCGAAAGCUUGACGGAGCACCGCCGCGUGAGUGAUGAAGGUCUUCGGAUCGUAAAACUCUGUUAUUAGGGAAGAACAAAUGUGUAAGUAACUAUGCACGUCUUGACGGUACCUAAUCAGAAAGCCACGGCUAACUACGUG